GCUAGCGGCAGGCCUAAUACAUGCAAGUCGAGGGGUAACAGGAAGUGCUUGCACUUCGCUGACGACCGGCGCACGGGUGAGUAUCGCGUAUACAAUCUACCUCAUACUAGGGGAUAGCCCGAAGAAAUUUGGAUUAAUACCCUAUAGUAUCUUUAAAAGGCAUCUUUUUUAGAUUAAAGGUUACGGUAUGAGAUGAGUAUGCGUUCUAUUAGCUCGUAGGUGUGGUAACGGCACACCUAGGCUACGAUAGAUAGGGGCCCUGAGAGGGGGAUCCCCCACACUGGUACUGAGACACGGACCAGACUCCUACGGGAGGCAGCAGUAAGGAAUAUUGGUCAAUGGACGAAAGUCUGAACCAGCCAUGCCGCGUGCAGGAUGACUGCCCUAUGGGUUGUAAACUGCUUUUAUAUAGGAAGAAAAACUUUCUCGUGAGAAAGCUUGACGGUACUAUAAGAAUAAGGAUCGGCUAACUCCGUGCCAGCAGCCGCGGUAAUACGGAGGAUCCAAGCGUUAUCCGGAAUUAUUGGGUUUAAAGGGUCCGUAGGUGGAUAAAUAAGUCAGAGGUGAAAUCCUGCAGCUUAACUGUAGAACUGCCUUUGAUACUGUUUAUCUUGAGUUAUUAUGAAGUGGUUAGAAUGUGUAGUGUAGCGGUGAAAUGCAUAGAUAUUACACAGAAUACCAAUUGCGAAGGCAGAUCACUAAUAAUCAACUGACACUGAUGGACGAAAGCGUGGGUAGCGAACAGGAUUAGAUACCCUGGUAGUCCACGCCGUAAACGAUGGUCACUAGCUGUUUGGACUUCGGUCUGAGUGGCUAAGCGAAAGUGAUAAGUGACCCACCUGGGGAGUACGUCG
rnacentral:rRNA from 1 species